GACGAACGUUGGCGGUGCGCUUAAUGCAUGCAAGUCGAGCGAGAAGCAGUUGUUCCGUAAGGUUCGACUGUGGACAGCGGCGAACGGGUGCGUAACACGUGAGAAACCUGCCCCCCAGACCGGGAUAGCCCAGGGAAACCUGGAUUAAUACCGGAUACUCUCCUCGGACCGCAUGGUCCGUUGAGGAAACAGUCCGCUGCUGAGGGAUGGUCUCGCGGCCUAUCAGGUAGUUGGUGAGGUAACGGCUCACCAAGCCGAAGACGGGUAGCUGGUCUGAGAGGACGAUCAGCCACACUGGAACUGAGACACGGUCCAGACUCCUACGGGAGGCAGCAGCAGGGAAUAUUGCACAAUGGGCGAAAGCCUGAUGCAGCGACACCGCGUGCGGGAUGAAGGCCUUCGGGUUGUAACCGCUUUGAGAAAUGACGGUACCUCCAGAGAAGCUCCGGCAACUACGUGCCAGCCG
rnacentral:rRNA from 1 species